GAAAUAGUAGAGUAAUUAGGUAGUAAGAGAGGACUUAAAACUUAAAGAAUUUGGCGGCAUCUUAAACUAAUUAGAGGAAUUUGCUUUUGUAAUCGAUAAUACUCGAAAGAUCUAACUUGAAUUAUUUGGCUUGUAUAUCGUCGUCAUAAUAAUGUUUAUUAAUAAUUAUUGAGGGUAAUUUUAUUUUAAAUGUCAGAUCAAGGUUCAGUUAAUGUUAAAGUAAAAAGUGAAUUACAAUGUAAUUAUACAUUUAUGAAUUUUAUUUUGAAAAGAUAAAUGAAGGUGGAUUUAAAAGUAUUGGAAAGAUAAUGUGUUUUUGUGAAUUGGCUCUAGGAUGUGC
rnacentral:rRNA from 1 species